rnacentral:lncRNA from 1 species
AGAGGCGCACAGCUUGGCACAUGACCUGAUAUGACUGAUGUUCAAAGCAGCUGUCAGUGAAUAGAGGCAGCACGCACAAAGGAGCCAGCCAAAAAUAAUGAGAGCGGUGAAAAGAAAAAAAAAAGAAAAGAAAAGAAAGAAACACAGCAGGGCAAGGCUCCAGGGUCACUUGUGUUUCCUCUGGUCUAACCUCCUCUCUCUCCUCCACCCAGUCCUCAAACAACCCCCUCCUGCCUCCUCCAGAAGAAAAGUUAAAAGCUUUCUUUUGGAAACAGAGUAGUUUGCUUAGACUGCUGCUGUUUACCUUUGGUAGGACAGCCAUUGGCGAGAGCUCACAGCAUCCUGUCUCCUCCAGAAGCUCUUCCCCAGCUGAAAUGGAAGUGAAAGACUGGUAGUCUCCUCCUCAACCACCCACCUCCUGGGGCCCUGACUGUGUGGAUGAACUCCUCACACCCAGGAUUUGUGUCUCCAGUGAAAAGCAGCAAUUUAUCCUACACUGAAAAUUUCCUGAAUAAAAACAGUUCAU